rnacentral:rRNA from 1 species
AUUCCAGCUCCAAUAGCGUAUAUUAAUGUUGUUGCAGUUAAAAAGCUCGUAGUUGAAUUUCUGGUUAAAAUCUUAGCUGGCUCUGGUCGUUAAUGUUUUAAUCAUCCGUUAGAGAACUAUAACCGUCCUUAACUGGUCAUUAUAGAGAUCUAACAUUUUACUUUGAAAAAAUUAGAGUGUUUCAGGCAGGCAAUGGCUCGAAUACAUUAGCAUGGAAUAAUGGAAUAGGACUUUUGUCCAUUUGGUUGGUUAUUGGACAUGAGUAAUGAUUAAAAGGGACAGUUGGGGGCAUUAGUAUUUAAUAGUCAGAGGUGAAAUUCUUGGAUUUAUUAAAGACUAACUUAUGCGAAAGCAUUUGCCAAGGAUGUUUUCAUCA